UACAGCAUGAUUUUUUUGUUCUCCCACCAGGCCGUGUGUUCGCCAACUCCCCAGAUACAGCAUGUGUGCUGGGCCUCAACAGGAAGGUCAUCUCAUUCAGCCCCGUCACUGAGCUGAAGGCUCUGACUGAUUUUGAGCACCGGAUGCCCCUGGUCCAGUGGUGGAUAAAUCUUCGGCCGUUGCUAAAAAUGUUGGCCAAGUACCAAACCAGCUUCUGUGAAUACGUCCCUGGAGAGAUCGAACAUGUGACUCGGCGCUCCAUUAGCAUUGACCACGGCUUCUAGGCUCUCUGAAGCUACAGGAGACUCGCUGCACUUUCUGACCCUUAGUUGUCCAUCGCUUGUUUCUAGGCAGAUUACAUACUUUUACAGGACUGAAGACAGUAUGUUGUUGGUAUCAUAGCAGCUAUGAAAAAGUACUUCAAGUAUUCAUUUCUCCAAAGAGGAGCAGGUUUUUCUAUUCCAAUCAAACCUCUGUUACCCAAUCACUGCAAUACAUAUCAGCUGUGCCAUUAAGCUGAAACUGCACUGAUUUAAUACUGAAUAUAUUAUAUAAAGCAGACGUGUGUGGUGUGGAAUAAUCUGAACAAGAUGUAUAUAUAAUCCAUGUUAUGCAGCUAGUUUUUGGAGCCCCUCUUAUCAUUUUCACAAAGAUUAAAGUGGUGCAGUGGGUGGUUUGAUGUCAGAAUGUGACUUUGACUCAUGGGACCAGUGAGACGUUCAUUUUAUUUAUACACUGCGUAGGAAACACUGCUUCUGUCAUCAAUUAAUGGGAACAAACAUAUUGAUACAGUGUAAUAAAUGUAACUACUGAAUUUAGAAUAGAGAACUCUGUAAAGAAAUAUGAAUGCAUGUUGUGUAUUAUUUUGAUAAUGCUUUACCUUCAAUUAAAUGUCAUUUAACAGUGA